rnacentral:rRNA from 1 species
UACGUAGGGUGCAAGCGUUGUCCGGAAUUAUUGGGCGUAAAGCGUGCGCAGGCGGCUUUGCAAGACAGAUGUGAAAUCCCCGGGCUCAACCUGGGAACUGCAUUUGUGACUGCAAAGCUAGAGUACGGCAGAGGGGGAUGGAAUUCCGCGUGUAGCAGUGAAAUGCGUAGAUAUGCGGAGGAACACCGAUGGCGAAGGCAAUCCCCUGGGCCUGUACUGACGCUCAUGCACGAAAGCGUGGGGAGCAAACAGG